rnacentral:ncRNA from 2 species
UAAUAAAGUUUUCUCCGAGCCUUAUUUCCUAAAGUAGAUGCUAUGGAAUGAGGUCUGGACUGAGUCCACGGAGUAAUAGAAGAAAUUCUAUUACUUGCUGUAUGCGAAGGAGAUGCAUGAAAAAAUGG